AUUCAAUGACUUGGAGGCCUUAAAGGAAGCACACCGAACACUAGAAAAACAUCUCCAAUUACUGCUGUUGAGGCCUAUUGUGAAGGUAUAUGAUCCGGCUAACAUCCAUGCAAAAUGUAAACAGUAUGUAAUGAAAGGCCUGUAUCAAGCAUACGCUCGUGGCAUAUGUGUUAUGUUUCAACCGGAAGAAAAUUACAAUUCUAUGACAUGGAGUCCUCAAAGGAAGCACACCGAAAACUAGAAAAACAUCUCCAAAUGACUGCUGUUCAGGCCUAUUGUUAAGGUAUCUGAUCCAGUAAACAUCCAUGCAAAAUGUAAACAGUAUGUAAUGAAAGGCCUGUAUCAAGCAUACGCAUACGCUCGAUGCGAAUGGAAAUGAUAAAGGAAAAAGAAAUCGUUCACGCUUUCCCCCAAAGGAGUUCAAAAAGUAAGGUGUUAUGUUUCAUAUUUAAACUAUUUGUAUUCUUUUUUCCUUUCGUUUUCUCUAUGAAAAUGGUGCUGAGGCUUCCUGGACUAAUGGAGGUAUAGAUUUUUGUGCCCAUUUUAUGUACUGCCAAGAGAUGAUCGUUCUUCGAUACGUCAGAGUCUAUCAAUGGAAAAGAUGUCGAUACAAACUCCAUUUCAACGCACCUCAGCCUCGUUCCAAAUGACUUAAGCCAAAAACAAAUGUACAAGCCAAUCGGCUCGUCCUGGCUCAUGAGGAUAACUUGCCUCCGCUACAGUGGCAACUGGUUCGGUUCGGAUCGUUCCUGUGAUCGCUGGCCACGAUAAUCAAAUCCGAGUAGUAGAUUUCAAAACAGCGAUUGGAGUUUUUCUUCACGUAAUCCACAAAGUUGCCCCUAAAUCAGGUAUUCGUACCGCCAUUGUCCUCGAGUCAAAUUGCCCAAGACGCUGGUAUGCCGUGAGUCGGUAAAGUUUCUACCACCGUUCUCUGCUACUUGCUUACUAAGACGUCAUCGGAUUGGGACAAUCCACUCGAUGCGGGGACUGGGGAGCAGCCGAAAACAUAUGCCGAGCGAGCGACAAAAGUUCGAAAAUUAAAAGUUUCCGCUGCGGCUCUGCCAGAAAGUAUGGAAAAGUCGCAGACCCAGAUGGAGCACCGGAGGAGAAGCGGGAUAUGGAUACGGAUACAGAGAAGCGACUGCGGCAAACGAACUGCAAAUGUGCAGGCGUAUUCGUGUGUGGAAAACCAUGAUAUUCAUAUGCAGCAAAAAGGAGUGUCAGGCGGAUAACUACUAGUUAUAUAUAACAGAUCGGAAGGUCUAGAUUACCUGGAAAAACUUGAUGCCGAUAAAGAAUACAAUAUAUACUUGAUGUUCUUGAAAAUGCAAAAUCAUAAUGCCCUCUGGAAGCGUAUAAAAAGAGAAAGCAGCACAAGCCAGCCAAUUUCAGACCAAGUCCUGGAAAUGGACCAACUCCAAGUGCUGUAGGUCCUGCUGCUCCUGCUGCUGCUGGUGCUGCUUUCGUUCUCUCUCCCGAUGAUGUGUCUUAUCUUGUCCUGCAGUGGCUGAGCGAUGCCAGCGCAUCCUGGAAGCUUUUUAUCUUGGCGUCAUGUUGAUGUUUGUCGGAAACUUGAUUAUUUUCAUCGUUUUUUUCAGAGCCAGCGAAUGGGUCUCCAUGUGGCUGAAGAUGUUUGGAUGCUGGCGGCGGUUGAGAGCAAAGAAGCAGUCUGGGAUUAGCCCUCCCACAGAAACCCACAAAAUGGCAGGGAAAAACACGACAGCCAAACAAAAAAAAACGAAAAAAAAACUUGCACGAUAUUCUGUGGAUAGAAGUUGAAAAUAAGGAGUUUCGCAGCAAUGUAAAUGCAACUUUAACUUCUCAUACCCGCAACAAGAGUUCGGGGUUACAGGUUGCUCUGGUUUGACUGUUUCCUGUUGUUUUUGACAAACAAGGAGAGCACACUCGUUCCUCGUAAGUAAAAUAGGUUGUAAUAAGAGCAGUUAACAACAUGAGUGAGGCCAAGGCGAGCGGAACAGGACGAGGCCAAGACACCUGAACGUCACGGCACAAACUCGUGUACAGUGGAGAUGCCUUCUAAUGGACAGAAGGAGUUGCGUACACCAAGAAAGUAGUAAAUCUUAAGAACGAAAUGGAAAGUUUAAUGGAACGAAAAACUCCCAUGUUGAAAAGUUUAUUUCAACAAUGUAUUUGAGAGGAUUAAAAAGGUGUGCAUGCAUCAUAAGGGAAAGCAUAGAAAAGAGCCCACACUCACUGUACCUAUGCCAAAACCGCUACAGGGGUUCUGCCCUGUGCCACAGAGCAUGGAAAACGCAGCGGCAGGGACCGAGGGAGCGCUCCUGACAACUGACAACUCCUUUAAAAUGUAGUUACUGUUGUUAUUAUUCAACCUUAAUGAACUUAACAAGCUCGCACAACGACGACGACGGCUACGAGGACGAAGACGACAUGCUGCCAGGCCGGCAGCAGUCGGACACAGGAAUCCCGCCCCCACCUAUAGACCACCAAGCCCACCUCCACACAAGCAGCCAGUCAGACAGACAGACAGACAGACGAGCAAGUCAAACAUAGAGGGAAAGGCAGAGACAGGGAGAGAGUGGAAGAAUGGAAGAGGACGGUAAGUACCUCUCAAUGGCGCAGGGUCACGUAACUCAAAUAAAGCGCCAAAGCCACCAGCCGCAAAAAAAAAUCACAAAAGAACCAAAGGAAAACAACAAAAUGAAGCGAAGACAGGGCAGGACAGUGCACGCCGCCAAGGGAUUGAGCGGCACAGGCCACCUUUACGCCCUGUCCCAUGCACAUUGUGCAUUUUGGCCCUCGCCAAAGCCGAGGCAAAUUAAAAAUGUUUCACAAAUAUUGGGAGAACGAGGCCGGAACACAGAGAGCGGAACGCUGCGGACGGGCUCGCAAGGCAAGAGCUUAAACGGAUAUGAUUAUUGUAUUUCGUAUCGAUUGCAUCAAAUAUUGAGGGGCAGCAUACUUCAGAAUAUUCUUUUCAAACAUAUGAACUUGGGAUUUGAUAGAUUGAUGGCCAGCUUGCCCGCUUAAUGUUCCGAAGGCUCUGCCAUUCUUCACUUAUUAUUGACCUACGGGUUUCUUUUAUAUCCGAAAAGACACUAAUAAAAAAGAAAUAGGCCCCUCCCCUGAUUACAAUUAGCUGAAUUUAAUUGCCUAUAGAGCGAUAUAAGGUAUUCUGAUCAUGAAAUCUCAGAUUACGGUCUACACGUGGCUGAAUCGAAUACUUGUAAAUAUUAUUCUUCUCCGAAUACACCGAUUGGAUUAGACGCCGCGCUGCAACGAGGUUGGGUGUGCAAUACGGUCAGGUGGAAGGUUGAACUAGACGUCCCGUAGAGCCCUCGCAUGUGACCUCCACUUCACAACCACCAGCGAAGAUAUCCCGGCCAUCAAUUUGCCAAAAGUGCUCGAAGCCAACGCUUCGGGAGUUCCUUAAAGUGAGAUCUCUGCCCCUCUCAGGGAUCUUCUUGCCACACCAAGUGCAAUGCGGGUCGCCUCAGAAGCUUUACGCCUGCGUUGUAGCAUCCUAAAAUUUUAGUGAAACUUUUACAUAGACUAUAUACGGAUAGAAUCGAUGCGGACUCGGAAAUGUACUUGGACCAUUCUUUGACGCUGAUUUGAAUUUGUGAUGUGGAGUAGGACUACUGCGGAUACCACGAUAAAAAAAGG